AGACCUUCGGGUCUAGCGGCGGACGGGUUAGUAACGCGUGGGAACGUGCCCUUCUCUGCGGAAUAGCCACUGGAAACGGUGAGUAAUACCGCAUACGCCCUUCGGGGGAAAGAUUUAUCGGAGAAGGAUCGGCCCGCGUUAGAUUAGAUAGUUGGUGGGGUAACGGCCUACCAAGUCUACGAUCUAUAGCUGGUUUUAGAGGAUGAUCAGCAACACUGGGACUGAGACACGGCCCAGACUCCUACGGGAGGCAGCAGUGGGGAAUCUUAGACAAUGGGCGCAAGCCUGAUCUAGCCAUGCCGCGUGUGUGAUGAAGGUCUUAGGAUCGUAAAGCACUUUCGCCAGGGAUGAUAAUGACAGUACCUGGUAAAGAAACCCCGGCUAACUCCGUGCCAGCAGCCGCGGUAAUACGGAGGGGGUUAGCGUUGUUCGGAAUUACUGGGCGUAAAGCGCGCGUAGGCGGAUUGGAAAGUUGGGGGUGAAAUCCCGGGGCUCAACCCCGGAACUGCCUCCAAAACUAUCAGUCUAGAGUUCGAGAGAGGUGAGUGGAAUUCCAAGUGUAGAGGUGAAAUUCGUAGAUAUUUGGAGGAACACCAGUGGCGAAGGCGGCUCACUGGCUCGAUACUGACGCUGAGGUGCGAAAGUGUGGGGAGCAAACAGGAUUAGAUACCCUGGUAGUCCACACCGUAAACGAUGAAUGCCAGUCGUCGGGCAGUAUACUGUUCGGUGACACACCUAACGGAUUAAGCAUUCCGCCU
rnacentral:rRNA from 1 species